UAAGCAUUAUACCGUGAAACUGCGAAUGGCUCAUUAAAUCAGUUAUCGUUUAUUUGAUAGUACCUUACUACUUGGAUAACCGUGGUAAUUCUAGAGCUAAUACAUGCUGAAAACCCCAACUUCGGGAGGGGUGUAUUUAUUAGAUAAAAAACCAACGCCCUUCGGGGCUUCUUGGUGAUUCAUGAUAACUUUACGGAUCGCAUGGCCUUGCGCCGGCGACGGUUCAUUCAAAUUUCUGCCCUAUCAACUUUCGAUGGUAAGGUAUUGGCUUACCAUGGUUUCAACGGGUAACGGGGAAUUAGGGUUCGAUUCCGGAGAGGGAGCCUGAGAAACGGCUACCACAUCCAAGGAAGGCAGCAGGCGCGCAAAUUACCCAAUCCCGACACGGGGAGGUAGUGACAAUAAAUACUGAUACAGGGCUCUUUUGGGUCUUGUAAUUGGAAUGAGUACAAUUUAAACCUCUUAACGAGGAACAAUUGGAGGGCAAGUCUGGUGCCAGCAGCCGCGGUAAUUCCAGCUCCAAUAGCGUAUAUUAAAGUUGUUGCAGUUAAAAAGCUCGUAGUUGAACCUUGGGUCUGGCUGGCAGGUCCGCCUCACCGCGUGUACUUGUCCGGCCGGGCCUUCCUUCUGGAGAACCUCAUGCCCUUCACUGGGCGUGUUGGGGACCAGGACUUUUACUUUGAAAAAAUUAGAGUGUUCAAAGCAGGCCUUUGCUCGAAUACGUUAGCAUGGAAUAAUAGAAUAGGACGUGCGGUCCUAUUUUGUUGGUUUCUAGGACCGCCGUAAUGAUUAAUAGGGACAGUCGGGGGCAUCAGUAUUCAAUUGUCAGAGGUGAAAUUCUUGGAUUUAUUGAAGACUAACUACUGCGAAAGCAUUUGCCAAGGAUGUUUUCAUUAAUCAGUG
rnacentral:rRNA from 1 species